CACGUAGGGCGCGAGCGUUGUCCGGAAUUAUUGGGCGUAAAGAGCGUGUAGGCGGUUUGGUAGGUCCGUUGUGAAAACUCGAGGCUCAACCUCGAGACGCCGAUGGAAACCAUCAGACUAGAGUCCGGAAGAGGAGAGUGGAAUUCCUGGUGUAGCGGUGAAAUGCGCAGAUAUCAGGAAGAACACCCGUGGCUAAGGCGGCUCUCUAGUACGGUACUGACGCUGAGACGCGAAAGCGUGGGGAGCGAACAGG
rnacentral:rRNA from 1 species